ensembl:lncRNA
CACACACACACACACACACACACACACACACACACACACACACACACACAGACCAGACUCAAAACCAACUAGUCACUUGCGUGUUGAUAUGCCGGUCGGCGCAACGUUUGAAUUUAACGUUUUUUAUAUGACAAAAUGAACUACCUGCCGUUGCUUGUCGAGGUGGGAGUGAACACAUGCCGGCUGUCUCCUGAGUGUGGAAACACGCCAGCGUUGGCCAGCUCGCCACCUAAAGCGCCUUGUCACACGGCCAACUGGUCCGGACCAGAUCAACCACAUAGUGGUGGCGGAGAGCCGAGGAGAACGGGGGCCGGCUAGAGAGAUCAUAGCCCUCACUAUGACAGCUCGCUCUCUCCAGGGGAUGAGGAGAGGAGAGGAGACAACAGGAGAGGAGCGGGGAUGAGGGCACGGGAAAGGAGAUGAGUGACACGAGAAGAUAGUCCCCUCAUGAGUUCGAACCUGAGAGAGAAGUCAUCUAAGGGAGUUGUGCAGUAUGUCGUCAUUGACAGUAUGUGUAAACUGUUACAUGAAUGCUUGGUGUAUUUGAGAUCUUGAUGUCAUAUUUAUGAUUUUAUCUUCUGUAGAAAUGCAGGACAGAGUCCAGAACUAAUUUCUGUAUAUAAUCAAAGCAUAUCUUAUGUUAUCUUAUCGAAUGUUAGUGUCAAGAAAAAGUAAUGGUAACAGCUUGUUAUAGGAAACUGUUUCCCACGUACAUUAAGACAUAGGCCUACAAUUUUAAAAAGAAGAGAUGAAGCAGCUACCAUUUUUUCAGUUGCAG